GGAAGCGCGUGUUUUCUGCACGCUCCAAAUACAUGAAGAAGAUGCUCAGUGAGACUAUAAAUCACAGCGUCCAGUGUGAAGCGUAUCCCACAAUCCACGGCGAGGUGAGGUCACACAGGUCGAACGCCGACAGGAUACAGCUCCAGAGUUGGGAUCAACCGUUGUGUUUUCAGGGAUAAUAUCAGUCCUGGUUAUUGAUCAAUGAGAGGAAGGAGGAAAUAGAGGCGGAGUUACAGCUGCCAGG